rnacentral:rRNA from 1 species
UACGUAGGGUGCGAGCGUUAAUCGGAAUACUGGGCGUAAAGCGUGCGCAGGCGGUUCGUUGUGUCGGCGGUGAAAGCCCCGGGCUUAACCUGGGAACGGCCGUUGAAACUGGCGAACUGGAGUGUGGCAGAGGGGGGUGGAAUUCCGCGUGUAGCAGUGAAAUGCGUAGAGAUGCGGAGGAACACCGAUGGCGAAGGCAGCCCCCCUGGGUCGACACUGACGCUCAGGCACGAAGCGUGGGGAGCAACAGG